AUGAUGUGGAUUAAUUCGAUGCAACGCGAAAACCUUACCUACCCUUGACAUGUCCGGAAUCCCGAAGAGAUUUGGGAGUGCUCGCAAGAGAGCCGGAACACAGGUGCUGCAUGGCUGUCGUCAGCUCGUGUCGUGAGAUGUUGGGUUAAGUCCCGCAACGAGCGCAACCCUUGUCAUUAGUUGCCAUCAUUUGGUUGGGCACUCUAAUGAGACUGCCGGUGACAAACCGGAGGAAGGUGGGGAUGACGUCAAGUCCUCAUGGCCCUUAUGGGUAGGGCUUCACACGUCAUACAAUGGUCGGUACAGAGGGUUGCCAACCCGCGAGGGGGAGCUAAUCCCACAAAGCCGAUCGUAGUCCGGAUCGCAGUCUGCAACUCGACUGCGUGAAGUCGGAAUCGCUAGUAAUCGUGGAUCAGAAUGCCACGGUGAAUACGUUCCGGCCUU
rnacentral:rRNA from 1 species